rnacentral:rRNA from 1 species
GAUGAACGCUAGCUACAGGCUUAACACAUGCAAGUCGAGGGGCAGCACAGUGUAGCAAUACAUGGGUGGCGACCGGCGCACGGGUGCGUAACGCGUAUCCAACCUUCCCGAUACUCUUGGAUAGCCUUCCGAAAGGGAGAUUAAUACAAGAUGGUGUUUCACUUUCGCAUGCUAUUGAAACUAAAGAUUUAUCGUGAACGGAUGGGGAUGCGUGACAUUAGAUAGUAGGCGUGGUAACGGCCAACCUAUGCUACGUUGUCUAGGGGUUCUGAGAGGAAGGUCCCCCACACUGGAACUGAGACACGGUCCAGACUCCUACGGGAGUCAGCAGUGAGGAAUAUUGGUCAAUGGCCGGAAGGCUGAACCAGCCAAGUAGCGUGCAUGAUUAAGGUUCUAUGGCUUGUAAACUUCUUUUAUACGGGAAUAAAACCUCCCACGUGUGGGAGCUUGUAUGUACCGUAUGAAUAAGCAUCGGCUAACUCCGUGCCAGCCGCCGCUGUAACAC